AACAUUGAAAGGCUAGAAUUAGUAAACAGCAACUUUGUUUGAGUCCAACAUGUGCACAGGGGCAAGAGGGGUGUUUUGUUUACAAACAUAUUUGCCGAUUCUCUGUUGUCAAGUCGACGCAAAUUUUCAACGGAGGAAAUUUUUAGCUAUAUUUUAACAACCAUUAUAACGUUAAUUUAAUUUAUUUGUGUUGUAUUUUAUAGGAAAAUUUAAAAUAAAAAGUAUAAAUACUACAAUUAAUUUAUUUUAAGAAUAAAUAUAAUAUCCUUAAGCAAAAAAAAAACAAAAUUAUUAACAUUCUUAUCCCUAAAACUGCUUCUAAAAAAUUUGAAGCGACAACACCGGAGCUUAAGCGCCUGAGCCAUACGCGGAGUGUCAUCUGUCAAACGGCUUUUUGUUUAUUUUCGGGAUUCGUGUAUUUUCUUUAAUUUUCGGUUUCAAAAGGAAAACGGCCACAUUUUAGUGUUUUUUUAAAUUGCUAGGAUGGGAAAAACUUGUGUCGUUUGUGCCGCAUCAUGAUAAAAAGGUGAUUCAAGCCGAUCUUUUCACAAGAUUUCUGAUGCACUGGUUAAAAACACAGCAGCGGAUAAUUCAGUUAAUUUACCAAGUGAUUUAUCCUUCAAAGCUGCAGGGGCAGUUUUCCUGAAGAGUGCAAAAACUUCUUUAGCUUCCAAAAUGGUAUAUAGUACAAACAGUGAAGCUAAUAUAGAUAAAUCUGAUCAUUCAUCAUCAACAAUAACUGCAUCUGAGAUUAAUAGUUCUACAGUAAUCGUGGGGUCUAGGUCAACAAUUACAAUUUCUCAUCAAAGCCGUUUUUGUUUAACUGGUACACAUUCCCUGACUCUGCCAAGGAAAAGGUAAAAAUACACUCAAAAUAGACUACUAGUUUUUUGCCAUGUAUUAUCCUAUUCUAUAUAUCUUAUUUGAGCACCAGGACUAAGACAGGCAAAAAAGUUUAUAACCACUUCUAGAAAAAGAGCUGAACAGCUCCUAGACAUGAACAGAUCAGACAUCAGAACAGCAGUCGGACUCCUAACCGGUCAUUGCCCAGUGAAAUAUCACCUAAAGGCAAUAGGUAUAACAGAGGACGACCAGUGUAGAUUCUGCAGCAAUGCCACAGAAACAGCAGAACACCUGCUCUGUGAAUGCCCGACCCAACUCUGCAAGAGGCUCAAGUACCUGGAAGGGGUACAACCAACACCUCAAGAAGUGGGACAACUACCUCCCAAAAAUAUAGCUUUGUACGGCAGAAGUCUAAGACUUUUUGAGACAAACUAAGACAAGUAAAGUUAUGCACAAAAUAUCUCACAGGUAGCAGUGCUGAGCGGCGGAUCAGCCGAAACGACUCCCUUCUCAAUCUACAAUAUAUCUUAUUUAAAAGUGAUAUAGUAUUUUAUUGUGUUAUAUUUGUUUAAUAUUAAAAUAUUUAAUAUUAAUUAAAUGUAUGAUAUUACAAAGAUUCUUUAUAAUAACAUACAUUUUAUUGAUCAAUUGGAUUAUCAUAAUACAUUUUUUUAAUUUUGGUAAUACUAUAUUUUUAUGUAUAUUAUUCUAGGGUAAAAUCAAAAUGAUAUCCUGAGGACCUAAGCACUGAUGAUUCCACCGUUUUAAAAGCUAAAUCACUUGUCACCAAAUUAUAGAAAAAAAAAUAAAGAAAAUUAAAAUUCGAAGAUUGCAACAAACAAAUUUGCGCCAAAGAAAUUGAAUUAGAUCUCAAGUCAUUAUUAAAAUAC